UUCGUCUAACGGUUAGGACAAAACCCUUUCACGGUUAAAAUGCAAGUUCAAAUCUUG
rnacentral:tRNA from 2 species